GGGCCUGUAGCUCAUUUGGCUAGAGCGCUGCUAUGGCAUAGCAGAGGUGGUGGGUUCAAAUCCCACCAGGUCCA
rnacentral:tRNA from 1 species